rnacentral:rRNA from 1 species
CGAGCGGUAGGAGUCCUUCGGGACUUUGAGAGCGGCGUACGGGUGCGUAACACGUGUGCAACCUACCUUUAUCUGGGGAAUAGCCUUUCGAAAGGAAGAUUAACACCCCAUAAUAUAAUGAUUGGCAUCAAUUAUUAUUGAAAACUCCGGUUGAUAGAGAUGGGCACGCGCAAGAUUAGAUAGUUGGUGAGGUAACGGCUCACCAAGUCUGUGAUCUUUAGGGGUCCUGAGAGGGAGAUCCCCCACACUGGUACUGAGACACGGACCAGACUCCUACGGGAGGCAGCAGUGAGGAAUAUUGGACAAUGGGUGAAAGCCUGAUCCAGCCAUCCCGCGUGAGGGAUGACGGUCCUAUGGAUUGUAAACUUCUUUUGUACAGGAAUAAACCUACUCUCGUGAGAGUAGCUGAAGGUACUGUACGAAUAAGCACCGGCUAACUCCGUGCCAGCAGCCGCGGUAAUACGGAGGGUGCAAGCGCUAUCCGGAUUUAUUGGGUUUAAAGGGUCCGUAGGCGGGCCUGUAAGUCAGUGGUGAAAUCUCAUAGCUUAACUAUGAAACUGCCAUUGAUACUGCAGGUCUUGAGUAAAUUUGAAGUGGCUGGAAUAAGUAGUGUAGCGGUGAAAUGCAUAGAUAUUACUUAGAACACCAAUUGCGAAGGCAGGUCACUAAGAUUUAACUGACGCUGAUGGACGAAAGCGUGGGUAGCGAACAGGAUUAGAUACCCUGGUAGUCCACGCCGUAAACGAUGCUAACUCGUUUUUGGAUCUUCGGAUUCAGAGACCAAGCGAAAGUGAUAAGUUAGCCACCUGGGGAGUACGUUCGCAAGAAUGAAACUCAAAGGAAUUGACGGGGGCCCGCACAAGCGGUGGAUUAUGUGGUUUAAUUCGAUGAUACGCGAGGAACCUUACCAAGACUUAAAUGGGAAAUGACAGGUUUGGAAACAGACCCUUCUUCGGACAUUUUUCAAGGUGCUGCAUGGUUGUCGUCAGCUCGUGCCGUGAGGUGUUAGGUUAAGUCCUGCAACGAGCGCAA